rnacentral:rRNA from 1 species
AAGCGGAGGAAAAGAAACCAACAGGGAUCGCCUUAGUAGCGGCGAGUGAAGCGGCAAAAGCUCAAAUUGGUAAAUCUGGCACUUUCAGUGUCCGAGUUGUAAUUUGAAGAAGGUAUCUUUGGGUCUGGCUCUUGUCUAUGUUUCUUGGAACAGAACGUCACAGAGGGUGAGAAUCCCGUGCGAUGAGAUGUCCCAGACCUAUGUAAAGUUCCUUCGAAGAGUCGAGUUGUUUGGGAAUGCAGCUCUAAGUGGGUGGUAAAUUCCAUCUAAAGCUAAAUAUUGGCGAGAGACCGAUAGCGAACAAGUACAGUGAUGGAAAGAUGAAAAGAACUUUGAAAAGAGAGUGAAAAAGUACGUGAAAUUGUUGAAAGGGAAGGGCUUGAGAUCAGACUUGGUAUUUUGUAUGUUACUCUCUCGGGGGUGGCCUCUACAGUUUACCGGGCCAGCAUCAGUUUGAGCGGUAGGAUAAGUGCAAAGAAAUGUGGCACUGCUUCGGUAGUGUGUUAUAGUCUUUGUCGAUACUGCCAGCUUAGACUGAGGACUGCGGCUUCGGCCUAGGAUGUUGGCAUAAUGAUCUUAAGUCGCCCGUCUUGAA